CGUGUCUCCUGUGUCAGCUCCAAGCACCUUUGUUGUGACCCAUGCUCACCGGUGACAGCUUUCCAGUGACUAACGGAAAGGGGGCCUCCCCAGCCUGUUGCAGUGGGCUCUGGACCAUGUAAUGCACUAAGCGGUCACUGCAUUGGAAGACCUGAGGAGCAAAACCCCAGGGGGAUCUCCAGGCUUCAGUUGCUCUCCCAGUGCCUCUCUGGUCUUCCCUAACCCUUCUAUUUCAUUUCCUGUGACUGCAGAGUCACUGAAGGAAUCCAGGAAUCCGGGAACUGGCAGUCCCUGUCAGUCACCCUGAUUGGCCAUCAGUUUCAUUAUGCCUGGUGUUUAUUUUAUACUGGCAGGAUUACUUUCUUUGUUUGUUUGUUUGUUUGUUUAAUCUUUUCCCUCUUCUCCCAGGCCUCCAUUUAAUUCCCAGGGGUGCCACGAAUAACUUGAAUCCCCAGUGGGGUCCAAGUGCCCCCGGACUUCCUUGUGAUACUUCCUCCCAGGUGCUGGCCUGAGACCUGGCGUGGUGGAUCUGUUCCUUAGUCUGCUGGUCUGGCGGUUAAUCUGUGUGUGGUGACGGACUGGGCAAAGCCAGGGACCACGGAGGCCGGCAAGGAUCAUCCCAGUGGACACUGGAGGAAAAACACCUGGAGGGAAACUGACCCCAAAUCCCUAGAAGUGAAUUUAGUCUGUGACUGCUUCCUGUUUUUCACCUUUUGAGUUUAUGAUUUUCUGCUCCCUUCUUCUUUCUAUGCGUAUAAAAUUCAUAGAUUGUAAUUAGAGGGUAAAGAUAGUUACUUUUGUCUUAAAGAUGCUUUCUCUGUUGAUCUUACUGAAAUGCUGGUUUGGACUAACUCUAAGAGGGGAAGAAAUUUUCCCGGGGUUCCCUUGAGGCAUAAGUGACACCUGGGGAAACCCAGGCUGCAUCAGGGCAGGCAGCAGACUGACCCUGGUGCCUCAGUUUCCUCCAGGGUACACGAAUCAUCAGGCUUUCUCCAGAGCCCUGUCAUCCACCUGCCAACACAUCUCUUUCUGCCCCAUUGCUUUUCUUAGGGGAAGAAUUCGCAUAUACUGCAAAGCACAAUGCAUGCAACCAGGUAGACUUUCUGAGGUUCCUUCUGGAAACUUCAGACCUGGUUUUGGGACCUUCUGCCACGAGGUGGAGGCCGUGAGAGGUCACAGGGCCACUUUCCAGGCUUUUCCUAUGAGAGACUUCAUUUAGGAAGGAUGCUUCUUUGGAUUUUUGCUCAUUUUGAUUAUUCUCCCCCCCCCCCGCCCCAUUUCCUAGAAAUCUGAUGAAGUGACUCAGCCUUUUGCUAAGGAAAGGGAUCAUUACUAGGUGUGUGCACCCCUGUGGUCCCAGUGCUCUGGGAACUUGGGUCAGGGGGUUCCAAGGUAGGAGUCCAGGCCGAGCCCCUUGGUGAGAGCCUGCCUCAAAAAGUAAUAAACCCGGGGGGUGUGCGUGGCUUCCCGCCAGGAUCUGGGAGGCAUCCCCAGCACACACAAAAAGGCAUUUGCCGAAAUUCAAAACUUUUCUAAGGCUGUUUUGAAGGAAUAUAUUUCUAAUUGUAAAAGCCAGGUGUGGUGGUGCCUGCAGCCCCAGCCAGCAUUUUAGGAGCCAGAGGGAGGCAGGAGGGUCAGGAGUUCAUGAACUGUGGUUUAGCAAGAUCUGCCUCAAAAUGAAAAUUAAGAAGAGGCCAGGGGGAGUCCCUGAAUCCCCUGGACCAACAACAACAGCAAGAAAAAAACGUUACUUUAAAGGGAUUUUCUAAGGUAACAGUUUAAUGCAGCAAUACAAAACCAAAACCCAAUCCUCUAUGCUUAAUACACCAAAGUUUUCUUAAAAUAUUGAUAAGGUGGUGUACCACAUAUGGUGUCCCAGGACAGUAACCCCAGCUCUCAAGAAGCUGAGGCAGGAGGAUCAACACAAGUUCAAGGCCAACAUGGGCUACAUAGUGAGUUCGAAGCCAGCAUGAAACUAUGUAUUGAGAACCUGUCUCAAAUAAUAUACAAAGUGUUGUGCUGGCUUAGAAAACAAAGAUUUUGUGUUUGUCAGAUACACUGAAGGAAGUGUAUCUCAGUAGAGCUAGAUAGAUCUAAAGUGUCUAUUUGCUGUAAAGUCUUUUUACAUCAUCAGUUUAUGACACUCUCAUCCCUGGUUGCAGUGAAUCUGGCACCUGUAUAUGUGACCAACUGUGAGAUUACCUCUGAGGACUAAAUAUGCCGUGUGCCCUAGCUUUGUCUAAAUGUAUGCAAAGGUUUGUAAAAUUGAAGGCACAUAGGUUGAAUGCAUGUCAGAUAACAAAUACAUGUUGUCUUUUGUGCACUGUGCAUCACUUCUGCUUAUGAAAGCUGUGACCAGAAAACUUUGGGCACCUGUGUCCUUUGCACUCAGUACUGAGUGGGAAAAAGCCCCCAAUUCGCUGCCCUUGUCCAUCAGGUACCCAGGCACCUGUGGCCAUUAGCACUGUCUCCUCAGCGUGGAGGUGCUCCAUAAGUCUCCUUUGAUUCUGUCAGCAUUGUUACCUUGACAUUCACCGCAAAGUUAAAAGCUGGGUUGGUGUGGGCAGGACUUCUGUGCAGCCGUGAUGCUAAAUGUUGCUGGUUCUUUGUGUGUCACAUGUAUCUGCUCCCGUGUUCCGUCUUCUACAGUGCACAGCUCUGGGGAGCAGCUCACCAUGCUGAGCCUUCUGACUUGGUCACUGGUAAUGACAGGCAUGUGCAGGUGUGUGUGCGUGUGCUCCUGGUUCUACUGUGACAGCCCUCUUUGGGCGACAAUACUCACACAGGCCCACGCACAGUGCAUUCCAAGCAGUGCCACUCUGCGACUGAAAAAGUUAAAGUACAUCUGUGAGGAGCACUGUCCGCUUUAUCUAACACAUUCCGUGAUUCCCGGUCAGCAUGCAGCUUCAUGACAGAGCACUUGCCAAGCACACACAGGCCUUAGACUCAGCAGCCGGCACUGCCAAAGAAAACCCAUCAUUGCUGAGAGACAAAAUUUCAUGCAGAUUUAUGUGGCUAAGGUUUUGUGAUUGGCCAGGUGUUGUGGUGCAUGCCUCUAAUCCCAGAAUUGGGGAUUCUGAGGCAGAGGGUUAUCAGGAGUUUGAGGCCAGCAGGAACUAGGCCCUGUCUCAAAAAAAAAUUGUAAUUAUAUAAAGUGACAUUGUUUAUAAAUUACAUCUUGUUAAUGUUGUCACACUGCAUAGUAAAACAGGAAGUCAAAUAUGUUUUUUGAAGUGUAUGGUCCUGAUAUCAUGCUGUCAGUCGCAUCUACUAACCCUAAAAUGCCAUUGGGAAAUGGGUCAUUUUGUUGUUUGCUAAACUCUCCUCGGAGUUUUAACUGUAGCUCAUCUGAGCCUUUUGUCAUCCCUGAUUUUGACUGUUCUCUGAAGCAUUUGUGAACAGGUUCCUCAAAGGGAAUCUAGCAAGUACUGUGAACAGCUUUCUGGCAAAAAUAAACUUAUUUUUUAGAGGAACGCACGCUGCCCUCGGACCUUGGCUCAUGCUGCCAUGCACUUCCUGUGUUACUUCUGCUGGCCCUGUAGGACACAGCGCCACCCUCGGACCUUGCAUCUGUACCACUGGCUUCCUAUGCAACUUCCUUUCACCUGGAGGGACACUGCGCCAAUGGCCGCUGCCUUCGGUGACCCUCCCAUUCUCCUAGACCAAGUACUUGAUCUUUGGCUCCCAUUCCUCCUCCCAGAAACUUGCACUGCAGUGGAUUACUGUGGUGAGUUGAAGGGAGACUCAGUGACCUCUCACCCAAACCGAGGACCUCAGCAGGAUCCAAUCACUAUGCUCCUGUACUUCUGGCAUUCAUCCUACAACUUCAACAACCAGUUCGAAUUACAGCUUCACUAAGUAGAAUGGGACCAAAUAGAUGAAACCACUGAGAAAAAAAUCAUCAAAGUGAUACAAGACUUCAAAAUAAGAUAGCACCCUGCAGACACACAGACUGAUGCUACCAGCCCGUCCCUCCGCCCAGGACCGCAUAUGCCGCUGCACCGUGCUUCCCAAGUGUAUGGUGGAUGCUUGAACCCAGGACACCUGCUGGCCCACUGGGGAUACUCCCUACCUCCUGGACUUAAUACUGCUAUUGAUCUUCAACUCCCACCCUUUCUCCCAGAAACUUGGGAUACAACAGAUUAACUGUGCUAGCUUGAUGGGAGAUUUAGUAACUGCCUCUCUCAAACAAAGGAUCUCAGCAGGCUCCAGUCGGUGUGGUGUGUAUGGCCCUAAAUCUUACCUGUACAGUGGGUAAACAGGGCCGGUAGUAAAGCUCCCUGCCGCUAACUGUCAGACCUUGGUGAGUCUGGUAAGAGUGUGAGUGACCCCUUCUGGCACACAGAGAACAUCAGGCAGCAUGAGGAGUGUGCCAAUAAGGAUCCCCCCAACUUGGAGAAAAUCAAAAGGGCUUGUGAGUCACACAGGCACACAGUAGGGACACAAUAGGGCAGGGAGAUUUGGUGACCUGGAAUAACCUGAAGAUAAGGUAAUAGUAGGAAGUAGAAGUUGACCUACAUCAAUACUACUAGGUUUGUCAGCCCAGGAAGAAUAUAGGACUCACCCAAAAGGCCCUGCAGGGCGAAUCCAGGCAACUGGCUCACCUCUUCAUUGUGGGACCCAGAAAUUGGACAAGCAUCAACCUUACAGUAGGACCCCAAGAUACACACUAUCAACAGUUGACACUAGUGGAACUGAAGGACCAAAUGUUAACUUGAAAGGGGAAAAUGGCAAAAUGAAAAAGCAAAAUGCAACCUCAAAAUCUAGUCCACCGGGAGCAAGUACAGGAGACACUGAAAUAGAGGACUUCAAAGUAACACUGGAAAUCUCUGAAAAGAUAGCAAGUGAAAUAAAACAACUCCAUGAGGCUAUACAGGAAAUCAAAUUAGAAGCAAUCUCUCAUGCAAAGACAGAAAUAACAACCUUAGUAAAGGAGUUGCUCAGCACGCUUAAGGAAGAAGUACAGGAGCAUGGGAAACUGAUUUAAAACUUGAAUGAACAAUAUAGAAAACAAGCAGAGUCCAUGAAAGAAACUCAAAGAGACAGCCAAGAAACAAAAAAUUCUAUUCAAAGCUGGCAAAACCAUUUAAAUGGAGCUGAGGAUAGGAUUUUGGACCUUGAGGACAGGAUUACAAUUAGUGAUCUUGAAAUGAUAGAACUUUUAGAAAUAACAGCAGCAUGAAAUGACAAUCCAGCAGCUUCAAGAUGGUGCCAUGAGAAACAAUACAAGAUUAAUAGGCAUCAGUGAAGAUGCAGAAGUCAAUGCAAAUGACAUAACUAACAUAUUCACAGAAGUAAUACUAGAAAAUUUCCCAAACAUGGGGAAAAAGUCUGAUAUGCAAAUAAGUGAGGCAUAUAGAAUGCCAAACAGUCACAACCAACAUAAAUUUAUACCCAUACAUAUAAUAAUUAAGAUCCCAGACAUGCAGCAUAAAAACUGUUAGAGAAUACUAACAGCUGUUGGAGAAAAGACAACAACUCACCUAUCAAGGAAAGCCCAUUAGAAUCACAGCAGACUUUUCAGCAAGUCAAGGGUGGAGUGAGGUGUUUCAAGCCCUGAAAGAAAACAGCUUUCAACUCAGACUGAUGUAUCCAGAAAAACUUUCAUUCAUACUUAAUGGAGAAACAAGCUACUUCCAUGACAAAGAACAGCUGAAGAAAUUCAUAUCCACCAAAUCAACCCUAGAAAGAAUAUUGAAAGAGAUACUAGGUAGAGAGAAAUAUGACCACAAUCUCAUGAAUAACAACAAAAAGAAAUCACCAGUUCAGACAAGCAAUUAAACAAAGGGGAAAAGCAGAAAGCAAACAACUGUAACACAACAUAGCAAAGUCAAAUCAGUACAUAUCAGUGAUAUCCAUAAAUGUAAAUGACCUCAAUUCACCUAUCAAAAGAAAUAGGUUGACAGAAAGGAUCAAGAAAAAUGAUCCCACAGUAUGCUGUGUGCAAGAAAACACCUGACCCAAAAGGAAACUCAUAGAUUAAAAGUCAAAGGAUGGAAAACAGUAUUCCAUGCAACAGGAGCUCAGAAAAAAGCAGGGGUAACUAUUCUCUUUGCAGACAAUGUGAACUUCAAACCUAAAAUGAUUAAAAGAGAUUUAAAAGGUCACUACGUACUUGUUAGUGGAAAAAUUCAAGAGGAAGAACUAACAAGUAUAAAUGUAUAUGCACUAAAUACUGCAGCACCCAACUAUAUAAGACAAAUACUAAUGGACAUGAAAAACCCAAUACACAAGAACACAAUUAUAAGGGAAACUUACACCACAUUGUCACAAAGAGAGAGAUCAACUAGACAAAAAGUCAGCAAAGAAAUAAUAGAACUGAAUCAUACCUGUGAGCAAUUGAACUUAAUAGAUGUUUACAGAGUGUUCCACCCAACCACAUCAGAAUACACAUUCUUCUCAGCUGCACAUGAGACAUUCUCCAAAAGAGACCAUAUAGUAUCUCAUAAAACAUUCUUAAGUAAAUGCAAAGGUAUUGAAAUUAUCCCUUGCAUAAUAUUUGAUCAUAGUGCACUAGAAUUGGAAAUUAAUGGCAAAAUAAAUUGCAAAAUCUGCAUAAAUACAUGGAAAUUAAAUAACCUUCUAAACAAAAAGUGGGCUACAAUUAAGAAAUAAUACCUACAAUUCAAUGAAAAUGAGGACACAACAUACUGUAAUGUGUGGGAUGAAAUGAAAGCAGUGUUAAGAGGGAAAUAUAUAACACUUAAUUGUCAUAUCAAGAAAACAGAACAAGCACAAAUAACAUAAUGCUUCAUCUCAAGCUUCUAGGAAAAGAAGAGCAAAUGAAACCCAAAGCUCAUAGAAGAGAGGAAAUUGUAAAGAUUAGAGCAGAAAUCAAUGCACUUGAAACUAAAAAGAAAUACAAAGAAUUAAUGUAUCACAAACCUGGGUUUUGAGAGAAUAAACAAAAUUGACAAGCCUCUAGCUAACCUUAUCAAGAAAAAGAAAGAAAAACCCAAAUUCAUGCAAUUAGGAUUGAAAAGAGGGAAAUUAUUCCAGAUCCUAUGGAAAUUCUAAAGAUCAUGAAUACUUAACUUUGAAUAUCUCUACUCACAUAAGAGUGGAAAACACAGAGGAAAUGGUCAGCUUUCUAUAAACAUAUGAACUACCAAAGCUCAACCAAGAAGAUAUAACAAUCUUCAAUAACCCAAUAUCAGCUACUGAAAUUGAAAACACAAAUAAAAACACACUAACAAACAAAAGCCCAGGUCCUGAUGGAUUCAUAGCUGAAUUCUACAAAUAAUGUAGAGAAGAUUUGAUGUCAAUACUACUUAAACUCUUUUUUUUUUUGUACCAGGGCUUAAACUCAUGACCUUGUGUUUGCCAGGCUAGCACUUAGGCCAUUGAGCUAAAUCUCUGGCCCUUAAACUCUUCAAUGAAAUUGAAAAGCAAGCAAUCCUCCCUAAGUCAUUCCUGGAGGCAAGUAUUACUCUGACACCAAAACCAGAGAAAGACCCAACCAAAAAGAAAUAUAUGCCAAUCUCACUAAUGAACAUUGAUGCAAAGACUGUCAAUAAAAUGCUGGCAAAUAGAAUGCAACAAAUCAUCAAGAAGAUUAUACAUCACAACCAAGUGGGAUUCAUUCCAGGAAUGUAAGGAUGGUUUAACAUACACAAAUCAAUAAAUGUGAAACACCACAUCAACAGAGCCGAAAACAAAAACCACAUGGUCAUCUCAAUAGAUGCAGAAAAAGCUGUCAAUAAAGUCCAACACAUGUUCAUCAUAAAAACCUUCAGAAAUUCAGAAUACAUGGUGUCUACCUCAAUCUUUAUAAAGGCCAUCUAUGACAAACAGCGAACAUUAUACUAAAUGGACAAAUAGUGAAAGCUUUCAUUAAAAUCAGGAACAAGACAAGGAUGUCCACUAUCACCACUCCUAUUAAGUAUAGUUUCAGAAAUACUAGCCAGGGCAGUAAGACAAGAGAGAGAAAUAAAAGAAAUAAAGAUAGGAAAGGAAGAAGUUAAAUUAUCACUAUUUGCAGAUGACAUGAUACUCCCAAAAGAUAUGAUACCCAUGAUACCCAAAAGACUCCAUUAAAAGAUUACUAGAGGUAAUAAACAAAUUUAGCAGUGUAGCUGGAUACAAAGUCAAUGCUCAAAAAUCAACAGCAUCUCUUUAAAAUUAAAAAAAAAAGCAUUCCCGUACACAAACAAAAACUCACCGACACAGAAAUUAUGGAAAUAUCGCCCUUCACAGUACCAUCUAAAAAGAUGAAAUACUUAGGAAUCAACCUAAGAAAGAAUGUAAAAGACCUAUAUGCUGAAGAUUAUGCUAUGCUAAAAGAGGAGACUGAAGAGGAUAUUAGAAAAUGGAAGGAUAUUCCUUGCUCUUGGCUAGGAAGAACCUAUAUGGUGAAAAUGGCAAUACUCCCAAAACUGUUACACAGAUUCAAUGCAAUCCCAAUCAAAAUAGCAUUAACAUACCUCCCAGCUCUAGAGAAAACACUCCUAAAAUUCAUUUGGAAACAGACUAGAAUAGCAAAGGCAAUUCUGGACAACAAAGGCAAGAUAGGAGGCAUCUCAGUUGCUGACUUAAAACUAUAUUACAAGGUCACAGUGACAAAAUCAGCAUGGUACUGGCAAAGAAGUAGACUUGAGGAUCAGUGGAACAGAUUAGAGGAUGCAAGCACAACUACAAAGACCCUCAGCCUCCUGAUAUUUGACAAAGGAGCUAAACGUGUUCACUGGAAGAAGGAUAGCCUCUUUAAUAAUAAAUAGUUUUGGCAAAAUUGGCUCUCCACAUGCUGAAGACUGAAACUAGAUCCAUGCCUAUCACCAUGCACAAAACUAAAGUCUGAAAGGAUCAAAGACCUAAAUAUUAGACAGAAAUGCUAAGUCUACUGGAAGACAAGGUAGGUAGCCUUGGAGACAUGGGAUAGGCAGAGAACUCAUGAACAAAACACAAACUGCACAGGAAACACUUCAAAGAAUCAACAACUGGGAUCUUACAUUGUUGAAAAUUUUUUGCACUUCCAAAGAAAUCACCAACAGAAUGAAAAAAAAACCCACAGAAUGGUAAAGAAUUUUAGCCAGCAACCCCUCAGAAAAAAAACUUAUAGCUAGAACAUACAAAGAACUGAAAAACAUCAAGCCCCCCAUAUUCAAAUACCUGCUCCAAAAAUGGGUAUCUGAGAUGAACACACAGUUCUCAGAUGAAGAUACACAAAUGGCAAAUAAAUACAUGACGUGUUCAUCACUGGUCAUUCAAGAAAUGCAAAUUAAAACAGCAUUGAGAUUUCAUCUCACUCUAGAGAGAAUAGCUGCCAUCAAGAAAUCAACUGAUAACAAAUGUUGGCGAGGCUGCGGGGGGAAAAGGAACACUGCUCCACUAUUGGUGGGAAUGUAGACUGGUGCAGCCACUCUGGAAAUCACUAUGGACAUGUCUCAGGAGACUUGGAUUGGAAGCUCCAUUCAGUCCAGCUCUUUCCCCUCCUGGGAAUUUUCCCAAAAAAACUGAAAAGGUCCUGUCACGGUAAUAUAUGUGCACCCAUGUUCAUAGCAGCACAAUUUGUAAUAGCUAACUCUUGGAAACAACCAAAAUGCUCAUCAACUGCAGAGUGGAUGAAAAAGAUGUGUUAUUUUUUAUACAAUGGAAUAUUACUCAGCUAUAAAGAGGAUAGUCUUGAAGCCUUCAUAGGUAAAUGGAGACAACUUGAGACUAUCCUCAUAAGUGAAAUAUAUAAUCAUAUUUAUAAACGUCACAUUGUGUCUCUAGUGUAAAAAGAAAUAAGAACUGUAGCAGUAAUAAACCCAAAAUAUGUAAUUGCUAUUGUAACAAAGGAAAAGAAAGUGCUCUAAAGGAUAUAACUGCAUGUAUAAGUAUAUAGGAUUAACAACCAUGUUACUAGGUUUUUGUUGGAUAGUUGAACAGAACUGUUUGCAGUCUCGCUGUUUGAAUGUUCACUUUGUAUGCUUUAGUUUUGUAACUUGAAUGACUAUUUCUAAGAGGACAAUAUGUAAUUUAUCAACUGGUGAUUUUUUACUGUUUUUUUUAAAUUAUGUAGUAUUUCUACCCUUUUUUCUGUUUUGAUUUUUUCUUUAAAUAAAAUUUUUAAAAAGCAA